CGUAAUGAGCAGCUAUUGAUUUGAGAUAAUUCUCUUUCUUCUUUGGAUUUCUUCUUCUUUUUCUUCUUCAAUCUUUAGCUCUUAUAUCUUGAUUACCAGUUUGACACAUGUCACUAAAAGGGCUUCAAAUUAAGGAGAAGAGAAUCAGGCAAGAAGCGGCCAUGGCCUGUAGUUGUUAAGUAUGUGCAAGAAGACAAUGAAGACGAUAGAGAAAAUGAUGAGGAUGGAUGGAGGUAUGGUGCUGGUGGAGUUAAUAAUGUUGAUCACGGUGACGACAAGGAGAUCGACCAAAUACAAGAUUAGUCCGGAAGAAAAUGUGUUUGGUCCAUCAAAGCUAUUUCAACCAACAUGUGAAGCAAAAAGCCUCAAGAACAAAAUAGCAAAACAACUAAAAUACGCAGAGAGUUGAACAACACAAUGAGACCAGUCUUACCUGUUCUUAGACUAUGAACAACAUGUUU